UACGGGGGGAGCAAGCGUUGUUCGGAUUUACUGGGCGUAAAGGGCGCGUAGGCGGCCAGCACAAGUCAGUUGUGAAAUCUCCGAGCUUAACUCGGAACGGUCAACUGAUACUGUGCGGCUAGAGUGCAGAAGGGGCAACUGGAAUUCUUGGUGUAGCGGUGAAAUGCGUAGAUAUCAAGAGGAACACCUGCGGCGAAGGCGGGUUGCUGGGCUGACACUGACGCUGAGGCGCGAAAGCUAGGGGAGCGAACGGG
rnacentral:rRNA from 1 species